AAUUCCACCCUGAACCCUAGGAGUGGGGUAAGGGUGGGUGCCUAAAUUGACGGGGUUACGCCUGAGCCCUAGGAAGUGGGUAAAAGUGGGUGCCCUAGAGUGUGUGAGUAACAGAGAAUUUUGUGCGGGUAACAGCCAAGA